UACUGCUCGUAGGUGCUUUGGCGCCAUGUUUACUUUCGCGAGUUUUGAGUAUAAUUGGAAUAAUUUAUAAAAUGUUUUAGUGUUUGAUUAUAUUUCAUAUUUCGAAAAAAUAUUGUUUAAAAUAAUACGCUAUGCAAAAUUAUUUAUUGAUUCUUCUAAUCGUGUUUUAGUGGCAGCGUCAAAUAUUGAUGUUGAUGAUACAUUUUUUGAUGGAGACAAGUGGUUAUUUUAAGCUUGGAGGGAUGUUGGAGAUGAGGAUGUUGAUGAUGAACAUUGUAUGCGGUUUCAAUGGAGAAGAAGUUUGCUUGCUGGUGGAUAUAGUUUUAUUAUCAAGUGCUCAAAAUGUGUAAUUCAGUUACAAGUGACGCGCGAACGCAAUACUAAAUCCACACACAGAGACAAGAAGACACGUUCCUCCAUGGAGCAAUCUCUUCAUCCAGUAAUUACAAUCUCCGAGACGUCCCCAACAAGCCGGUUCCAGCUUUCGUUCACAAACGCGUUCCCACACCCACCAGCACAGGGCGCCGCCUAGCUGUCCCCCCCGCACUUUAAUCUGUCACCUGGAGCAUUGAAGCGCAUAAUCCGACUUCGGCUCUUCGAGAAUGGAUUCGCAAUAAACGGAGUGUUGACGGUGCCGACUUAAUUUAUUAU